rnacentral:rRNA from 1 species
CACGUAGGGGGCUAGCGUUAUCCGGAAUUACUGGGCGUAAAGGGUGCGUAGGUGGUUUCUUAAGUCAGAGGUGAAAGGCUACGGCUCAACCGUAGUAAGCCUUUGAAACUGGGGAACUUGAGUGCAGGAGAGGAGAGUGGAAUUCCUAGUGUAGCGGUGAAAUGCGUAGAUAUUAGGAGGAACACCAGUUGCGAAGGCGGCUCUCUGGACUGUAACUGACACUGAGGCACGAAAGCGUGGGGAGCAAACAGG